GAUGAACGCUGGCGGCGUGCCUAAUACAUGCAAGUCGAGCGAACGGACGAGAAGCUUGCUUCUCUGAUGUUAGCGGCGGACGGGUGAGUAACAUGUGGAUAACCUACCUAUAAGACUGGGAUAACUUCGGGAAACCGGAGCUAAUACCGGAUAAUAUUUUGAACCGCAUGGUUCAAAAGUGAAAGACGGUCUUGCUGUCACUUAUAGAUGGAUCCGCGCUGCAUUAGCUAGUUGGUAAGGUAACGGCUUACCAAGGCAACGAUGCAUAGCCGACCUGAGAGGGUGAUCGGCCACACUGGAACUGAGACACGGUCCAGACUCCUACGGGAGGCAACAGUAGGGAAUCUUCCGCAAUGGGCGAAAGCCUGACGGAGCAACGCCGCGUGAGUGAUGAAGGUCUUCGGAUCGUAAAACUCUGUUAUUAGGGAAGAACAUAUGUGUAAGUAACUGUGCACAUCUUGACGGUACCUAAUCAGAAAGCCACGGCUAACUACGUG
rnacentral:rRNA from 1 species